rnacentral:rRNA from 1 species
CAGCAGUAGCCGCGGUAAUACGGAGGGUGCGAGCGUUAAUCGGAAUUACUGGGCGUAAAGCGUACGCAGGCGGUUUGUUAAGUCAGAUGUGAAAUCCCCGGGCUCAACCUGGGAAUGGCAGUGGAUACUGGCUCGCUAGAGUGUGUCAGAGGAUGGUGGAAUUCCCGGUGUAGCGGUGAAAUGCGUAGAGAUCGGGAGGAACAUCAGCGGCGAAGGCGGCCAUCUGGGACAACACUGACGCUGAGGCACGAAAGCGUGGGGAGCAAACAGGAUUAGAUACCCCCGUAGUCCCUGUCUCUUAUCC